CCUGGUGCCAGAUCUGAUCUCGCUAGCCUGGUGCCAGAUCUGAUCUCACCUAGCCUGGCCCCAGAUCUGCUUUUGCCUACUAAAUUACCAAUCAGACAAACAGACUGGCACCCAGGCUACAUUAUAAUCCACCCAGGCUACAUUAUAAUCCACCCAGGCUACAUUAUAAUUCACCCAGGCUACAUUAUAAUUCACCCAGGCUACAUUAUAAUCCACCCAGGCUACAUUACAAUUCACCCAGGCUACAUUACAAUUCACCCAGGCUACAUUACAAUCCACCCAGGCUACAUUAUAAUUCACCCAGGCUACAUUAUAAUUCACCCAGGCUAUAUUAUAAUUCACCCAGGCUACAUUAUAAUCCAACCAGGCUACAUUAUAAUCCACCCAGGCUACAUUAUAAUCCACACAGGCUACAUUAUAAUCCACACAGGCUACAUUAUAAUCCACCCAGGCUACAUUAUAAUUCACCCAGGCUACAUUAUAAUCCACCCAGGCUACAUUAUAAUCCCCCCAGGCUACAUUAUAAUCCCCCCAGGCUACAUUAUAAUUCACCCAGGCUACAUUAUAAUCCACCCAGGCUACAUUAUAAUCCACCCAGGCUACAUUAUAAUCCACCUAGGCUACAUUAUAAUCCACCCAGGCUAUAUUAUAAUCCACCCAGGCUACAUUAUAAUCCACCCAGGCUACAUUAUAAUUCACCCAGGCUAUAUUAUAAUCCACCCAGGCUACAUUAUAAUCCACCCAGGCUACAUUAUAAUCCACACAGGCUACAUUAUAAUUCACCCAGGCUACAUUAUAAUUCACUCAGGCUACAUUAUAAUCCACCCAGGCUACAUUAUAAUCCACCCAGGCUACAUUAUAGUCCACCCAGGCUACAUUAUAAUCCAUCCAGGCUACAUUAUAAUCCAUCCAGGCUACAUUAUAAUCCAUCCAGGCUACCAGUAUGUCAGAACUGCAGUACUGUUUAUUGUCAAAACGAGUGAAAACUUGGGUUCCCCUAAAGGCUCAUCUUGA
rnacentral:lncRNA from 8 species